GUGUUACUGCGACAGAAUGGUCACUCAGUUAAUGAAGAGCUGAAAAGACCGGGGGAGGAAAUGGAAGACAGUACUGCACUGUAGCAUAUUCAACACUGUGACGCACUGUGAACACAAUACAGCUGAAGAGGAAGAAAGACAGAUGACUUUUGACUGCCGCCUCCUCUCUCUUCCUCCCUCUGUCGAAGGGCAGACAUCAGUGUGUUCCGCAGUGAGCAAGCUGGUGAGCCACGACCCGGUCAUCUUUGCGAGGGCGUUUGUGCCACUCACCCUCGCCAGCUCCCUCGAGGGGGAAACCCUCACGGUGCUGUUCCAGAUCAAGAUAACGUUCCUUCAUCUCACUGAGCUCCCAGAUUUGAAGGAGACAGUGAUCUGGAGAGUAUCCGAUCUGGAACCCCUCCACCGGCCAUCCCCAAGUCAAUCCCACCACCAUCCGUGGCUUACCCAAGCCCGGCGCCGGUUCAUAUGCAAGCCAAAAGGACAUUAAUGUGCCAAGCCCAACAAACAUUAAUGCGGCAAGCCUGUCAGCCCCAAAACUUACUCCAGUGCACGCUCCUCCAGAGCUCACUCCAAUGUUGGUCCAGGCCCCAGAGUUUGCUCCAGUGUUGGCCCAGAACACAUCUUUUCUCUCGGAUCCAGAAGAGGAAAUUAGGGGUGAGGAGAAGGGUGUCAGCCCAGGCGCCAGAGUUUGCUCCAGUAUCAACCCAGCCCCAGCACGUAGUCCAUGUAGGGCUCCCGAUCCACAGUUAAGCCCAGGAUGGUCUCCUGUUCAUGAGUUAAGCCCAGGGAGGGCUCCUGAUCCCCUUUCAAGCCCAGCAAGUGGUCCAGGCCUUGAGUACAGCCGCGUAAAUUUCCCCAAGUAUUUGUUUUUGGUGGGGGAAUAGUAAGGUUCCAGCCGUAGAGGCUAAGGUGGGGGCUGGGGUAGGGGCCUUGUAGGCUGCUCUGCCAUGUCCUCCUGAGUCCCCUGCUCCACCAUGGCACCCUGAAUGGGGCCACUGUCCUUUGUCUGUCCUGAAGGACCUUCAGAGCACCUACCCAGGUGUUCCUCAUCCUCACCUCAUCAAGUCCUGUAUAGAUGUUCCCUGUUCUAUGUUUCUUCAUCGGCUGUUAAUACAUCUUUGGAUUAAAAUU